UCUGAGUCUCCUCUUUUUCUUCGUGAACAUGCAUGAACGAAGUUCGACAAUUAUGUGUGCAAGGAAAAAGGGGAACUCGCGUAAAAAGCAUGAAAAUUUAAUAUUUUACUUUAACGUUUAAUAAUACUCAAUAUUCUAAAUAUUUAAUUCGACGCAAAACUAACUAGAAUCGAUUGUAAGUACAUUAAUUUAAUUUAAUUUAAAAUUAGGUUUAAUUUUAUUUUAACUCGUUUUUAUACUUUUCAGAAUGAAUCAACUAUCUUUUUCGGAAGGGUAGAACGGAACUUCGUGCACUCAAUUAAGUCAAUUCCCUCCACAUUUGAACUCCUCGAAGCUGUUGCUAGGCGACGUAAACGAUUUCUAUUGUAACUUUGUGAUAUUCAGUAGGAAUCAUGUUACUUAAGUAUUUAGGGAACGUCAUGCCUCCGUAUGAAUAUGAGAAUCGCGUAGUCAGUAUAGUCUGGUCACCGAACAACUUAAAACUUGCUGUGGCUUCUUCUGAUCGUUCUAUUUAUCUAUUUGAUGAGAACUGUAUGAAACGGGACAGAUUUCCUACAAAACCUGUCGAUUCGAAGUUUGGUAAAAAGAGUUAUGUGAUCAAAGGUAUAGCUUUCUCUCCAGACUCAACCAAAAUAGCAGUGGGUCAAUCUGAUUGUAUAAUCUACGUGUACAAAAUUGGAGAACAAUGGGGAGACAAGAAGGUAAUUUGCAACAAAUUUCAUCAAAGUUCCUCUGUUACUUGUUUAAUCUGGCUUUCCGAUGGACCUAUUAUCGUCGGCUUGAUGGAUGGGAAAGUUCGUGCUGCGUUACCAAAGUCUCAGAAAGCUCAAACUCUUUAUACAGCUGAUUCUACUACAAUUGCAUUAGCCUCAAAUAUAAGAGGGACAGGAUUCCUGUCCAGUCACGCCGAUGGCAGCAUCAUAAAGUAUAAUUUAACAGAAGACGGAAAUCAUGAACCUUCUGGACGCAUCUGUACGCACAGUGUGCCAGCAUAUGCCUUGGCCUGGCCUCAGUCUCACAUUCUGGCAGCAGGAUGUGACAGACGAGUGACCUUCUACGACUCUCGUGGGAAGGUGACAAAGAUCUUUGAUUACAGUCGUGAAAACGAUAAGGAGAUGUCAGUAGCUUACUGUAGUCCCAGCGGACAAAGUGUGGCCAUUGGAUCUUGGAAUAAAAUACGAAUACUGGAUUGGAGUCCUAGGCGUUCUAUUUGGGAAGAAGCAAACUCCAAAUUCUUGCCGAACUUUUAUACUGUCACUGCCAUUGCAUGGAGACGUGACGGAUCGAGGCUCGUGGCGGGUAGUCUUUGUGGAGCCGUAGAGCAGUUCGAAACAGUUUUGAAACGUACAGUGAUAAGAGGCAGUCACGAAGUGGCCUAUGUGGGUCCUAACCAGGUGGUUAUUCGUCCUCUGCAAGAAGGCAACAGGCCAGUAAUUAUCAGAUCGCAGACCGGUAAUGAAAUAGAGGAUGUCAAGGUUCUAGGACGUACUGAUAAUAAUGUCGUAGCUCGCACAGCUAACACGCUGCUACUCGCGGACAUAGAACUGAAUCUUAUUAGUGAGAUAUUUUGGGAGGACAAAAGCAAUAGUGAGAAGUUCUUCUUCGAAUUUCCAAGAGUUUGUCUAAUUUUCUGUUCUGGAGAACUGACUAUCGUUGAAUAUGGGAAUAACGAACCACUGGGUUCCGUUAGAACGGAAGCAGUGAAUCCCCAUGUGGUCAGUAUCAGAAUUAAUGAGAGACAGUCGCCAGGUGCUGCUGAUAAUAAGAGAUUGGCUUAUUUAUUGGAUCCUAGAACAGUACGCAUUGUAGAUUUUAUAACAGGUGCGACAGUAACAAUGAUUACUCAUGAUGUACGUGUGGAUUGGUUGGAAUUGAGUGAAACUGGUCACAGAUUACUGUCACGGGACAAAAGGGCCAGAUUAUGGUUAAACGAUGACCUUGGCAGUCGAAGCUUACUGUUAACCGGAGUCAGCUUUGUCUCUUGGGUACUAGGCAGCGACGUGGUUGUAGCUCAAACAGGUCAAACAUUAGCAGUUUGGUAUAACGUCGAUGCCCCAGAAGUUGCAACACUAAUCCCUAUCCGUGGAGACGCAGUGGAUGUUGUCAGGGAAGAUGGUAGAACCUCAGUCACUGUUGAGGAAUUAGGUGGAAAAAUAGCUUACCUGCUGGACGAACCUUUGAUUGAGUUUGGUACGGCCUUACAUGAUAGCGACUUUGGUAGAGCUCUGCUGUUUCUGGAAGAACUGGCAGACAGACCCCAGGCAGAGGCUAUGUGGGAAAACGUAGCCAGAAACGCUAUGGCUACUAGACAAUUGUUGGUCGCUGCAAGAUGUUACGCUGCUCUAGGGGAUGUCGCUUGUUCCAGAUUCCUUAAGGACAUCGUGAAGACUGGCGAGAAAUACAGUGCAGAAACUGGCAACGAUCCCCUUUCUAGUUCAGACUGCUGGGCCAAGCUAGCGAUACUUAAUGGUGAGCUGAAGACAGCGGAAGCAAUAUAUCUUGAGCAAAAUGAACUAAAUCUAGCUCUUGACAUGUAUCAAAAGUAUUGGCAUUGGGAGGAUGCGCUGAUCUUGGCACAGAAUCGUGGCUGGCCAGGUUUGCAAGAACUUAGGGACAGGCAUUUAACCUGGCUCCUUGAGAGCGGUCAAGCAGCCAGGGCUGCUGCUAUUCUAGAGCCGACUAAUCCUCAACGAGCUGUUAAGUUGUAUUUAGAAGCUCGUCGACCUGGGCGAGCAGCUAGAUUGGUUCUGGCUGAUGAAGAACUGCUAGAGGACAAGUCGAUUGUUAAUGAGAUUGUGAAGGUGCUGAAAGCAACAGACCUAUUGGAGCUUGCUGGAGAGCUAUUGGAGAAGACUUCGGGGCAUUUGGAGGCUAUACGAUGUUAUGCUCAAGCCGGAGUAUUCGCUAGAGCACUAGAACUGGCUAGAAAAGUGGAUCCCACCAUGGUGGUGGAUCUUGAACGAGACUGGGGCACACAUUUGGCCUCAGCUGGUCACUAUGACGCUGCUAUUAAUCAUUUCAUUGAAGCUGGAGAGACUGCCCUAGCCCUGGAUGCUGCUAUAAAUGCUCAUCAAUGGAGAAAAGGGUUACAAAUUGUACAAGUAAUCGAGACUGACGAUCCUACAAUCAGGAAACAAUGUGAGAAACUGGCCGAAUACUUCGCCUCUAUAGGCGAGAGGAACCUCGCAGAGAAGCUUUACAUUCGUUCAGGAGAUACAAAACGCGCAGUGGACGUUCAUAUUCAAAGUGGCAACUGGAGUCGUGCCCAUGAAGUGGCACAGGAAUACAUGGACUCUGAGUUAGCCAAUGAAGUGCUCGCUAAACAUGCGGCAGUCCUCUACGAAGCUGGCGACCUUAAGCACGCAGAAGAAUUGUAUCUUGCAAUUGGCGAGAAUGAUUCCGCCAUAGCGAUGUACAAGAAGGCAGGUCGUCGGUCAGAUAUGGUGAGACUUGUGGGAAAGUAUAGACCGGAUUUAUUGCAACCAACACAUGUACAUUUAGCAAGAGAAUUAGACGCUGCAGGCAAACCUAGAGAAGCUGAAGAACACUACCUUGCUGCUGGUGACUGGCGAGGUGCUGUGACCGCUUAUCGGUCAGCUAAUAUGUGGGAGGAUGCUCUGAGGGUGGCUAAACAGAAUGCUGGAGACAACGCAGCUCAACAGGUUGCUUUAAUGUGGGCCCGUACUUUGGCCCCCGAGCUAGGGGCAAGGUUGUUGAUGAGACUAGGUUACCUAGAUGGAUGUCUUCAGCUGGCCUGCGAAGCAAAUAUAUUCGAUUGGGGAUUGGAAAUCGCAAAAUACAGCACACCAGAACAGAAGAAAGAGGUCCACUAUAGACAUGCUAUGGCUUUAGAGGAUGAAGGUCGUUUCGCUGAGGCUGAGAAAGAAUUUAUCAAUGCGGGGAGAACUAUGGAGGCUGUGCAAAUGUACAUACAUACUCGCGACUGGGAAUCAGCUGAGGAUAUAGCACAAUCGCUUAAUCAGGAUGCAGUUGCUCAGGUUUUAGUUGCUAGAGCUAGCGAAGCUGCUGAGGCUCAGGACUAUUCUCUUGCAGAGACUGUACUGUUAAGAGCACACAAACCUGAGAUUAUUAUAGAUCAUUACAAGAAAGCUGGAAUGUGGUCGGAGGCGUUGCGGGUCUGCAGAGAGUACUUGCCUAGUCAAGAAGCUAAUCUCAGACGAGAAUUAGGGCAAAAGAGCGCUUCUUUCGCCGGGGCGAACGUUUUCGAGGAAGCUAAGAAGUGGUUGGAAGUCGGAGAAGUGAAGGCCGCCUUGGAUAUCUUGAUUUUAGAUCCACAGGCCUCUAGAGCCUCUCUGAUUCGAGCUGCUGAAAUUUUACUGCAUCAAGCAGAUUCGGAAACUGCGGCUGCAGUUGGAGGAGACCUUGGCUCGCGACUAUUUGCUGUUGGUGAACAUGCUCUGGCUGCGCAGGUGUUUCUACAAGCAGAUAGACUGAAGGAUGCUAUAGACGCUCUGGCAUCAGUGGGAGAAUGGGAAAGAGCCAGACGUAUAGUGAGGGAAUUAGCACCAGAUAUAGAGCCAUAUCUGGAAGAAAAGUACAAGGAUGCAAUGCUAAGGGACGGACAAAUAGAUAGAUUGGUGGAAAUUGAUGCAGAUGCCGGUUUAGAAAUACUAGCUAACAGAGGACAAUGGAAUCAAGUAUUUGAGGCAGCCAGCUCUCAAGACACUCAGACUCUACAUAAAUAUGUAGCACAACGAGCAGCGCAACUUUUGAAAUCAAAUGUUCCAUUGGAGGCCUUGCAAUUGUAUGCGAAGUAUGGAACACCGCCUAUUUCACAAAAUUUUAACCUUUAUCUACAGAUAUCUGAAAGCGUUCUACACUCUACGGCAUAUUACGAGUACAAACAUCUGGCGGUCCUCAGAACAGUUCUUUUGGACCUCUGGAAGAACUUGAAAUCUCCCAACGCAACCAGAUCAAAGUUUGAAAGACUGCUCGAAUCGACCCAUUACUCUGCAGUGAAAUGCGGAUGCAAAGAGUAUCCUGUACUGUCAGGACUAGUUCUGAAGUCCUCUAUAACUUUGUUGAGAUACACUGAUUUGGUCCUCGUUGACCGAGCAUAUUAUGAAGCUGGCAUUGAAGCACGAACAGCAGGAUUGAACAGUGAAGCGUUCGUCUUCCUGAAUCACUUCCUUGAUUUGGAGGAGUGUAUCGAGGAAGGUGACAGCACUGUACUUGACGUUGAUGAUCUAGCUGUUACAGACUUCCCCGUGGAAGUCCCAUUACCAAACUGUCUAGGCGUAACGUCAGAACAGAGAGAAGAAGUCCGUGAAUGGAUACUGGCAGUUUCUAUGGAUCAAAAGGUGGAACAGGUUCUACCUACUGAUCACAGAGGAGUUUAUGUAGGCUCAUUGACAUCUCCAGCUGUAGAAUCCCCACCUAUUCAAAACUGCAUUCUAACAGGUUACCCUGUACGGGGUUCGAUAACCCGAUUUUCAGAGGGCGAACGUGUUGCUGAUCGUGAUGAUUGGACAAAAUUAAUCAACACAGCUCGUCAAGCUCCCCAAGAUUCAGCUCUUAAUGAUAUUUUGGCUUUUGUCCAAGAGUGGUGCGGAGCAGUGCCUACUUAUUCCUUCUGAACACAUCUCCCAUACAAUUGUCUAAUUAAAUGAGUGAAUUUCAUUAUAACUAUAAUUAGCAGGUGAAGUCUACUAUUGCUAUAAAUAUAGUUCUAUGAGUUUGUGUUAAUGUUAUCAAUUAACAGGAAAUAUAGAAGUAACAAAAUGUAUCGUUUCUCUAGAAUUUAUUUAAAUAUUGCAUUAUGUAAAUAAUUAAUCUAACUUAAGCAUAAAUAGUUCUAUACGGUGUGAAUAUACAUGCAACGAUCGAAACCCUAGCGAGUUAUCAAGAUAUCUAUCACUCGUUGUCUGAACACCUAUCCACGAUGGAUAUUUAUAUGACUACUUGGUGAUGACUAUGCAAGUUUUGCAUUUAUACACAGGCUGCGUGUCAAAAACAAUAGUACAAGCUAGAGACGAGAAACUCGAUAGUAUGAAAUACUAUUUUUUUUCCCCUAGUGAAUUGGAUCUCGAAAAAUUCAUUAAAAACCUGUGCUUUAGACGUUUGCGUUUAUUAAAAUUGAACACAGAGAGCGAAAGUGUACCGAACAGAAUUGGAUAUAAAGUAUUUGCGAGAAAUAACCAAAACUGAGAAGAGUUGUAGUUCAAGUUGUUUGAAAACGUCGGGUCUUUUAUCCAUUGCGUUUAAUAAUUCAACCAUUUCUGAAUUCGAGACUGAACAUUUCUUUCAGAAGAAAAUAGUCGUCGUAAACCGUUUUAUUUCCAAUUAAGUAUCCGCCACUUCUUGCUUAUACUAUCAUUUCCUAAGUAUUUUGAAUAUACAUACAGUGUCUCGAAAAAUGUACCGUAAAAAAUAAGGUCUCUAAGUCCAAAAUAAAACAAUUGUUGAAGCUUCUACGUGGCUACAGGUGAUAAAGAUUUUUGUAACUUAUUCGAGUGAUGACCAAGGUCGCUAAUCGAUUCUAUAAAAAUAUGGAAAAUUAUCUUCUUCUUCAAACAACAAUUUAAUCCGUCUAUAAUACAGUAUACUUUGAGAGACACCUUGUAUAUGAUUAUGUUUAAAUAUACAAAACAUUUCAUAAAUAGUGUAUUUUCUGAGAAACACGAGCUUUCAUUCCCAGACACAACUGGCACGCGAUGUAGAAGACUAUCAAGCAUUGUAAAUAAAUUGACUAUCAACAUU